GCUUUCUUCUUCACUUUUUCUUUCUUCGACUUCUGUGCAUCCUUCUGUCGGAUCUACUCCAAAGCCAUCAAACAAUCUAGACGGUGCUCCACUGAUCUCAGACGGACCUCCGCUCGGAUCAUCUCUGUAUAGUACCAGACGGCGGUCCGCUUCGAGCCUCUCUAUACCAGUCGUGAGUUCUCUCCAAAAAUGGAGUCACCCAAAUCAUCUGUUGGAUCUUGUCCAUCACCUCCUUCUAAGCUGUUCUUGAUGCGUUCCAUGGGCAAAUAAAUGCAGACCCCCUCUUCGUGAUUUUUGCUCCUGGGCAUUUGUAAUGGUGGUUCUUGAAACAGUUUUGAAAUCUGGGUUUCAUGGAUUGGAUGAAUAACUCCUCAGAAACGAAUGAGGAUGAUGCAAAAUGGCCCGAUACAGGUGGUACCAGUUCCAAAGGGAAAAGGAGUUUGGAUGACACGAUGGAUAUUGGUGGUAGCACGAAGAAGAGCACUAACGAGAAGUUGAAGGAUGCAAUAAGCAAUGCAUUGGAAAGUGUCAAUGCCGCUAUGAGUUCGAAAGAACAACGCCGAAAAGCCAGGGAAGAGGCUAGUAUGAUGAAUGAUGGUUAUACUAGUUCUGAUAGCUCUAGUGAUAGUGAUGAUGAAGAUUAUUGUGCAGUGAUAAUUUUGGUUGGUGUUGCAUUCUUAUUGAUGGAAGAGGAAGAGAGUGACUUGGAAGAGGAAGAGAGUGACUCUAUGUAGAAACUCAACGUGAAGGUAAUUACUACGCUGUUGAUGGUGGUUACCCAAAUGUACCUGGUUUUUUGGCACCAUAUUGCGUGGAGAGUUAUGUGGUUUUUUGGCACCAUAUCGGGGGAGAGCUAUGUGGCUAAGGACGAAUACGAAAUAAGCAAGCUCUAUUUAAUUAUGGUCACUCAUUAUUGCGUAAUGUGAUUGAGAAAUAUUUUAGACUUUUAAAGCGAGAUUUCUAAUUCUAAAGUCCAUGAUGGUUAUCCAUUGAUUAGACAAAGCCAAAUCCCUAUUGGCGUGUUGUGCAUUACACAAUUUCAUACGAUCGGAAGAUAGGGAUGAUCAAUUAGGUAUGAUGUACGGAAUGCAAGCUAUGAUUUUGGAUGAUGGUGGAAAUACUAGUGGAGAUGGAAAUGAUACCCUACAAUUAGAUUUGAGUCAACAACAUCAAAUGUUACAACUGUCUGAGGACAUUGCAAAUGCUCUCUUGAAAAAUUAUAAUCA